rfam:Asian citrus Psyllid, Diaphorina citri - Florida Strain, whole genome shotgun sequence.
GCCUAGUGAGCUUGGACGGUAGCACCUGCCUUGUAAGCGCUAAGUCGCGGGAUCGAUUCCCGCACGGGGUA